UCGAAUCCUUAGGAUGUUGCUGGCCUCUCUCGGGAGGCAAUGUGCACUCUCCAAGACAAUUCACGAUUUCCAUCACACCCCUUGUGCACAUCCUGUAGGGCAAUGCCACCCCCUCUCAAAGUUGGGGCUGUUGUCCUAUGUAUUCUCUCAUCUCACACAUUUUGAAUGGUGCUCUUGGAUGCAUCUUGUGGAUUAUUUGUAACAAAGUAAUCAUAAAAA
rnacentral:misc_RNA from 1 species